rnacentral:rRNA from 1 species
AGUCCUACGGGAGGCAGCAGUGGGGAAUAUUGCACAAUGGGCGCAAGCCUGAUGCAGCCAUGCCGCGUGUGUGAAGAAGGCUUUCGGGUUGUAAAGCACUUUCAGUUGGGAGGAAAAGUUAACGGUUAAUACCCGUUAGCCCUGACGUUACCAACAGAAGAAGCACCGGCUAACUCCGUGCCAGCAGCCGCGGUAAU